rnacentral:piRNA from 1 species
CCUCUGUGUCCAUUUGUCAACGAGGCCAUU